ACUCCUCAGAGCAGUAGCCUCGACCCUCGAGUCUCAAGAUGAACCAGUUCUGGCAGGUCCCAAAUCUAAUGGACUGCAGUCAGUGGAAGAGUUUCUAGUUGAGAGCUUGAGAUACAAGUUGAAGAUAAUCCAUUUCUCAUCGUGGACUCAUCAUGACUUCGAGAUGGUUGCUCCUGGGAACUCUGCAAAGGUUUACCCUGUCCCUCCUACACCAAUACCUCCUGCUGAACCACACGGUAGGCAUAGUAGCUUAGUUCCCUGUGCCAGUGAUUAAUCUGUAGUCCCAAUUGCCUCCCAAGAAAUACAAGACCAUGACUUGAAUGAGAGAAAGGGGAUGAGAGUCGUGGCCAGUGACACUUUUACACAUAGGGCUGAGCAGGAGGCAGAUAUCCCACUUCCUCAGCGUUUCCCCUUAAGUCCACUCAGAGUCUACCACUAUGACCCCUCCCCAUCCCAUUCUUCCCUUCCCACACACCUGCAUAUCCCAGGGGAGAGUAAAGAUCAUUACUCUCUCCCCUUUCUCUCAUUGUCUGUCUCCCUUCUCUUCCUUUCACUUAUACUGUAUCAAAUUUUCUUACAUUUCAUCUACUUCUUUCUUUCCUUUUUCCUUUUCAGUCUUUCUUUAUUUAAUUUUCUGUUAUUUUUUUAUAUCCCUUAAUUUUUACACACACACACACACACACACACAGUAAGCAUUAUGGAGACGGGACAGCACUAGCCUAGUACGGCUCUUUUCCUGUAUUUCACAACUAGGUAAAUACACACACACACACACUGUUAAUGCAAUCAAAGUGGGUGACCAAGUCUAUGAGGAUGCAAAGGAAAUCUGUGAAAUAUUAACUGUUUUCCGUUUGCCGUUGCUGAAGUUUCAGGCUCCGCUUCACUGCCAGCGCAGCGCUCCGCACCACUGUCAGCGUAGCGGUCCACAGGGUUAUUAACAAUUAUGAUGUUAGCCUCGAUAAUAAUCCUCGAUACAUUUAUUCGCAAAUGAAAACUUUAAAAAAGUAUUUACAUAGGAGACAGAAUUUGAAAGGAGGAAUGGAGAGAGAAGUGUCAGGAGAAUGGAUAACAUAAAAGUGGAUAGAGAGGACAUAAUGGGGCUAUUAAAAUCACUAGAUGGUAAGAAGGCAAUGGGUCCAGAUGAAAUAUCAGGUCAAGUAUUAACCCGGUAGCAGCGACGGGCCAAAUUUGUGGCUAUGAGUAUGAGAGUGUUCCAACAAUAUUUCUCACAACACAGCAUUGCCAAUUGAGUGGGUUCUCCACUAAAUUUGGUGGAAAAUCAUGUCAGCCCAGCGCGGAAAAUCUACGGACGAGCAACUGGUGGAUGUUGUUGUCCAAUAUAGAGACAUUUUUGCAUAGCUUCACCUAUCACAUGACUGAUAUUUUGACCAAAUAGUUGUAAAUUCUGCAGUUGGCAAUACUGCCCUGCUAGCACCCCAUCAUCAAGAGAUCUACAGUAGUUGCCUUACGGCUGACCGUCGCGCACGUAUAAAUGUACGUCUUCACAGGCAACACCCCCUGAAUGUGCCUGUACUUUCGCAGGAGAGGCUUACAUUACCUAAUUGUAAGAUCUUGGCCUCCUCUUUCCAAUGUUAUUUUUGUUUUUUUAGCUGUGAUGAAUAGUUUUUGAGAUACAGAGGUUAAAAGAGCGAGCACUAGCGUCACUUGCUGGUGGUGCUUAAAGCUCGCUGCGAGCGCCAGUCGCACUCACAGCAAAAAAAACACCCUGAAAGUGCCUGUACAUUCGCAGGAGAGGCUUACAUAACCGAAUCUCAUAGAUCUUGGCCUCCUCUUUCCAAUGGUGUUUUUGUUUUGUAGCUGUGAUGAAUAGUUUUUGAGAUACAGCGGUUAAAAGAGAUCCCCUUCCCCCGCUGGGGUGCCCGAGCGCGCCUGAGGGGAUAGUCUCGUUGCGAGCGCUUAGCAAUGAAAGGGUUAAGGAGGUUGUGUCCCCGGAUGACCACGAGUGAAAUGGAUCAAGACUCUCAAUAGUGUGAAUGAGUAUUGGAAAUACAAAGUUGGUUGGCGAAGGAUUGAGUGUGCUGAGAUUAAGUGCUGGAACAGGUAAAUUGGAGAAACUUCUGCUGUGGCUGCCCCCUUGAGGGAAGUUAUGAGAACAGGGUGUUGGAGGUAGAGGUGUAAUAGUAAUGGAAAACAAAGUAAUUGAUAAGAGUAUAUUUUUUCCAUAUCAGACUAAAAAAAACUUGCCUUUUUUUACAAAAAUUGAAUUAUUUGUAUUCAACAAGGAUUUGUUUCAUACAGAUAUGAGGUUUUGUAAUCAUUGAUGGAACAGAUAUUAAUAUCCUAUAAAUACUGCAGCUAUUGGUAUCCUUUGAAGUAUUAGCAGUUGUAACAGAUGACUUAUCUAAUAAUAAUUCAUUUGGCCCGCUUUAUCUGCACAUAUAUUGUUCCAAGACCCCUGUGGAUGUUCAGGACAAAGAAAUAUGGAAUUUAUCUUAUACAUGCUUAUAACCUGAAACCUCAUAUUUGCACCCUCAUAACAUCCACAUAAAUCAUUCUGGUUAUGUCAUUGUAUGAAUUAAGGUGUGGCCAUUCAGAGCUUCAAGUAGAUAGAGAGAGUUUGGCCACUUGUUCCCUAGGCACUAUCAUGCUUGUGGUGCUUAUGCUUGCUGCCUUUUUCCCCAGUGCUCCAGCCAGAAUACAAGCCAAUGGUAAUUCAAUACUGCCAUUUUUAUCUACUUGUGGUUAGCUCGUGUCCAGGUUGAGUUGUUGGGUAAGGGGCAGUGGGCAUGAGCUGCAGGGAGGAGGGGUGGUGUCUGGGGAGUAUGUGGCUGGCCUCUCCCUAUCUACAGCUCUGAGGCUACUUUCCAACAGUGGUGGGCACGGUUCCGCUAACCGCUAAUUAGCGAAGCUAAAUUUUUCGUUAGCCGAUUAGCUUUUUCGCUAACUUUGGAAACAGGUAGCGGACCAAGUAGCUUCUGCUGAAUGUAGUUCCUCCUCCGCUAACUUAAGUCCACUAAAAAAUUCAUACAGUUUUGUUCUUGUCUGUUGUGGGCAGACACAGCACCAGUUGAGCCACAUGGCGCAGUAAUUGCAGGGCUUCCAAUUUUGGGUAAAUUACGCCUUAAAGUAGGGUAAUUGGAGUGGACAGUUAUUAGGGAAACUUUUGGGUAUUUUAGGGUAAUGCAUCUCCAUUUCCAACUCUUUGAACUCGGGAUUCAAUAACAAGAAUUUGAUAUUUUCCACCUGAGAGGAAACAAACUUAAAAUAAUGAAAAUGAAACUCAGUUAUGGAAAAAAGUAAAAAAUGCAUAAAUUUGUGGGAAAUCUUGGGUAAAAUAUAUGGAUUUAGGAAAAACUGGAGUAGUUCUCAGUGAGUAAGGUUGGUGCAGUUAUUUAUCAAGCAACUUGGCAAAUAAGUCCAUGUCGUUCUGUUAUUUAUCGAACAGCAUGGUAAAAUCUAUAAAAUAGUAAUCUCUCAGCGUAAACUAGUGAUGGCAAGAUUAAGACUGUGCAAUGCUUGGUAAAUAGCCACUUUGUACAAUUUUAUGUAUACUAUUUUCAUACAAUAAAAAUUAUGUACAAUUCAAAUCUGAAAAAAUGUCGGCAAUAAAACUGAAAUGUGUAAUUUUUCUUGUAGAGGUCAGUUACUCACCAGUGUCACCAAGCAGCCAGUUCAGUAUGCUGUAUUUUUUAAAAAUUUGAGGCUCUGCCUAGCAUAAUAUGUUUGUGUGAAAUAUUAAUGGUUUACAAAAUUUAUUCUCGAUGUAGGCUUAAAACGAUGGUUAC